AUUUGUCUAGCUAGCUAUUUGUUCAGUGCUAUUCAUAUAUCUAGGAGUGCUAUUUGUAGCUGAAGCUAUCCUGACCUGGGUAGCUGACCUGCUAGCUAGCUCCUGUUGCAUUCUCCUUCGGAGACGGACUCGAUUUGUACUUCGGUGCUGGGCCCACCGGAGCCAGACCUCCUAAGGACGACUGCGUUUUGCCUCUGGUGCUGAGCCCACCAGAGUGCCAACCGCCAACUACCCGCUGCUGCUGUUGAGGUGUGCACUGCAGGCUGACUGCAGCAAUAUCCUCCACCGGAGUCGCAUUCUCGGCUAGCUGGGACAUGGCUGCCUCCGAUUCCUCUGUGUCAGGACUGAGCGGAAUCUCCCGGUUCUGAGUGAUCGGUCAUUUCGGAGAAGAGGUUUGCAGAGGACCACACCAAAGACCUCACUUCAGACCACACAUAUUGUAGGCUGAAAUAGAAGGGGAGUGAUUCUUAAUAAAAAAAAAAAUAAUCCUGCAAGCAUUAAAA